UCCCAGACUCCUACGGGAGGCAGCAGUGAGGAAUAUUGGUCAAUGGCCGCAGGGCUGAACCAGCCAAGUCGCGUGAGGGAUGACGGUCCUAUGGAUUGUAAACCUCUUUUGUCGGGGAGCAAAGCGAACCACGUGUGGUUCAUUGAGAGUACCCGAAGAAAAAGCAUCGGCUAACUCCGUGCCAGCAGCCGCGGUAAUACGGAGGAUGCGAGCGUUAUCCGGAUUUAUUGGGUUUAAAGGGUGCGCAGGCGGAGGUGCAAGUCAGCGGUCAAAUUGCGGGGCUCAACCCCGUACUGCCGUUGAAACUGCAUCCCUUGAGUGCGCGAGAAGUAUGCGGAAUGCGUGGUGUAGCGGUGAAAUGCAUAGAUAUCACGCAGAACUCCGAUUGCGAAGGCAGCAUACCGGCGCGCAACUGACGCUCAUGCACGAAAGCGUGGGUAUCGAACAGGAUUAGAUACCCAGUAUA
rnacentral:rRNA from 1 species